rnacentral:rRNA from 1 species
CCUACGGGAGGCAGCAGUGAGGAAUAUUGGUCAAUGGGCGCGAGCCUGAACCAGCCAAGUAGCGUGAAGGAUGACUGCCCUACGGGUUGUAAACUUCUUUUAUAAAGGAAUAAAGUGAGGCACGUGUGCCUUUUUGUAUGUACUUUAUAAAUGAUGAUUGGCUAACUCCGGGCCAGCAGCCGCGGUAAUACUGAGGAUCCGAGCGUUAUCCGGAUUUAUUGGGUUUAAAGGGAGCGUAAAUGGGUUGUUAAGUCCGUUGUGAAAGUUUGCGGCUCAACCGUAAAAUUGCAAUGGAUACUGGCAGCCUUGAGUACAGUUGAGGUAGGCGGAAUUCGUGGUGUAGCGGUGAAAUGCUUAGAUAUCACGAAGAACUCCGAUUGCGAAGGCAGCUUACUAAACUGCCACUGACAUUGAUGCUCGAAAGUGUGGGUAUCAAACAGGAUUAGAUACCCUUGUAGUC